rnacentral:rRNA from 1 species
UUGAGAGUUUGAUCCUGGCUCAGAACGAAGGCUAGCGGGCAGCUUACACAUGCAAGUCGAACGAAUUGUAGUUGUAGUUUACUAUAGCUGCAGUUAGUGGCAGACGGGUGAGUAAUGCAUAGGAAUCUGCCUAGUAGUAUGGAAUAGCUGUUAGAAAUGACAGGUAAUACCAUAUAAUCCCUGCGGGGGAAAGAUUUAUCGCUAUUAGAUGAGCCUAUGUUAGAUUAGCUAGUUGGUAAGGUAAUAGCUUACCAAGGCUAUGAUCUAUAGCUGGUCUGAGAGGACGAUCAGCCACACUGGAACUGAGAUACGGUCCAGACUCCUACGGGAGGCAGCAGUGGGGAAUAUUGGACAAUGGGCGCAAGCCUGAUCCAGCUAUGCCGCAUGAGUGAAGAAGGCCUUAGGGUUGUAAAGCUCUUUCAGUAGGGAAGAUAUGACGGUAC